AUACGUAGGGGGCAAGCGUUAUCCGGAUUUACUGGGUGUAAAGGGAGCGUAGACGGCAGUGCAAGUCUGAAGUGAAAGCUCGCAGCUCAACUGCGGAACUGCUUUGGAAACUGUACAGCUAGAGUACCGGAGGGGUAAGCGGAAUUCCUAGUGUAGCGGUGAAAUGCGUAGAUAUUAGGAAGAACACCGGUGGCGAAGGCGGCUUACUGGACGGUAACGGACGUUGAGGCGCGAAAGCGUGGGGAGCAAACAGGAUUAGAUACCCGGGUAGUCCACGCCGUAAACGAUGAAUACUAGGUGUCAGCAGGCAAGGCCUGUUGGUGCCGACGCAAACGCAUUAAGUAUUCCACCUGGGGAGUACGUUCGCAAGAAUGAAACUCAAAUGAAUUGACGGGG
rnacentral:rRNA from 1 species